CGGCGGACGGGUGAGUAACACGUGGGUAACCUGCCUGUAAGACUGGGAUAACUCCGGGAAACCGGGGCUAAUACCGGAUGCUUGAUUGAACCGCAUGGUUCAAUUAUAAAAGGUGGCUUUUAGCUACCACUUACAGAUGGACCCGCGGCGCAUUAGCUAGUUGGUGAGGUAACGGCUCACCAAGGCAACGAUGCGUAGCCGACCUGAGAGGGUGAUCGGCCACACUGGGACUGAGACACGGCCCAGACUCCUACGGGAGGCAGCAGUAGGGAAUCUUCCGCAAUGGACGAAAGUCUGACGGAGCAACGCCGCGUGAGUGAUGAAGGUUUUCGGAUCGUAAAACUCUGUUGUUAGGGAAGAACAAGUACCGUUCGAAUAGGGCGGUACCUUGACGGUACCUAACCAGAAAGCCACGGCUAACUACGUGCCAGCAGCCGCGGUAAUACGUAGGUGGCAAGCG
rnacentral:rRNA from 1 species